rnacentral:rRNA from 1 species
UCCAGACUCCUACGGGAGGCAGCAGUGGGGAAUAUUGGACAAUGGGGGGAACCCUGAUCCAGCGACGCCGCGUGAGUGAAGAAGUAUUUCGGUAUGUAAAGCUCUAUCAGCAGGGAAGAAAGAAAUGACGGUACCUGACUAAGAAGCCCCGGCUAACUACGUGCCAGCAGCCGCGGUAAUACGUAGGGGGCAAGCGUUAUCCGGAUUUACUGGGUGUAAAGGGGGCGCAGACGGCAGCGCAAGCCAGGAGUGAAAGCCCGGGGCCCAACCCCGGGACUGCUCUUGGAACUGCGCGGCUGGAGUGCAGGAGGGGCAGGCGGAAUUCCCGGUGUAGCGGUGAAAUGCGUAGAUAUCAGGAGGAACACCGGUGGCGAAGGCGGCCUGCUGGACUGCGACUGACGUUGAGGCCCGAAAGCGUGGGGAGCGAACAGGAUUAGAUACCCCGGUAGUU